rnacentral:rRNA from 1 species
CGCAGGCGGAUUGGUAAGUCAGGGGUGAAAUCCCACAGCUCAACUGUGGAACUGCCUUUGAUACUGUCAGUCUAGAGUAUAGUUGAAGUUGGCGGAAUGUGUCAUGUAGCGGUGAAAUGCUUAGAUAUGACACAGAACACCGAUCGCGAAGGCAGCUAGCUAAGCUAUAACUGACGCUCAUGCACGAAAGCGUGGGGAUCAAACAGGAUUAGAUACCCUGGUAGUCCACGCUGUAAACGAUGAUUACUCGAUGUUGGCGAUACACAGUCAGCGUCUGAGCGAAAGCAAUAAGUAAUCCACCUGGGGAGUACGAUCGCAAGAUUGAAACUCAAAGGAAUUGACGGGGGCCCGCACAAGCGGAGGAGCAUGUGGUUUAAUUCGAUGAUACGCGAGGAACCUUACCUGGGCUCGAACGUAAGAUGACUGUAGGUGAAAGCUUACAUCUCUUCGGAGCAUUUUACGAGGUGCUGCAUGGUUGUCGUCAGCUCGUGCCGUGAGGUGUCGGGUUAAGUCCCAUAACGAGCGCAACCCCUACCUUUAGUUGCCAUCAGGUCAUGCUGGGGACUCUAAAGGAACUGCCUACGCAAGUAGUGAGGAAGGCGGGGAUGACGUCAAAUCAGCACGGCCCUUACGUCCAGGGCUACACACGUGCUACAAUGGCCGAUACAGAGGGCAGCUACCUGGUGACAGGAUGCAAAUCUCCAAAGUCGGUCUCAGUUCGGAUCGGAGUCUGCAACCCGACUCCGUGAAGUUGGAUUCGCUAGUAAUCGCGCAUCAGCCAUGGCGCGGUGAAUACGUUCCCGGGCCUUGUACACACCGCCCGUCAAGCCAUGGAAGCUGGGGGGACCUAAAGUCGAUAACCGCAAGGAGUCGCCUAGGGUAAAACCAGUGACUGGGGCU